UUGAAACUUUCAUGAUUGACUUCUUGCUCUGUUUUCUAUGACAAGUGCCUUCGAUCUAGAAGCAUAAUUCAAGCCUUUUCUCCUUGUUUCUUCAUUGAACAAGUUUUCUCUAACCAUACUCAUAGAAAGCACAUCACAAAAAGCAGAAUUAUU